GCGGGGGUCGCCAAGCUUGGUCAAAGGCGCAGGGCUUAGGACCCUGUGGCAUAGGCCUUCGUGGGUUCAAAUCCCACCCCCCGCACCA
rnacentral:tRNA from 1 species